UCCAGCAAGCACAAAACUGAAACCAAGUUUUACCAUCCUCUAUCUAUCUAUAUAUUCAACCCCUCACCACCCCCUCUCCCCCUACCUCCGAUCAAAACUCUCUCUCUCUCUCUCUCUCUCUCUCUCUCUCUCUCUCAAGCACACAAUUGUUGGGUUUGGCUUCCUACCCUUAUUUAAAUGAAGGCGUAUCAAAAAAAGAAGAAAAAAAAAGGGCAUGCGUGCAGCUAUUUGGAAUGGUUGGAAUCGGUAAAAGAGGUUGUUUAUGUUGCGGGUCAUCUGCUGCGGGUGAUUUGCUAUUAUCAUGACUUGUAGUUAUAAACACAUAACAAUUUAAUCUAAAUCAUUGAUACGUCUUAAAUUCAGCUGCACUAGCACAUGUUAAAUUCAAAGUUGAAAUUGCUCUUCUCAGAGUUGUCAAGUCAUGUUCGUCUUACCCAUAAGAAUCUCAUGCAAAAGUAAAUAGAACGACAUCAACUUUCAUGUUUUC